rnacentral:rRNA from 1 species
AACGAACGCUGGCGGCAGGCUUAACACAUGCAAGUCGAACGGGCACCUUCGGGUGUCAGUGGCAGACGGGUGAGUAACGCGUGGGAACGUACCCUUCGGUUCGGAAUAACCCAGGGAAACUUGGGCUAACACCGGAUACGUCCGCAAGGAGAAAGAUUUAUCGCCGAAGGAUCGGCCCGCGUCGGAUUAGCUAGUUGGUGGGGUAAUGGCCCACCAAGGCGACGAUCCGUAGCUGGUCUGAGAGGAUGAUCAGCCACACUGGGACUGAGACACGGCCCAGACUCCUACGGGAGGCAGCAGUGGGGAAUAUUGGACAAUGGGCGAAAGCCUGAUCCAGCCAUGCCGCGUGAGUGAAGAAGGCCUUAGGGUUGUAAAGCUCUUUCAGC